GAUGAACGCUGGCGGCGUGCCUAAUACAUGCAAGUCGAGCGAACAGACGAGGAGCUUGCUCCUCUGCCGUUAGCGGCGGACGGGUGAGUAACACGUGGAUAACCUACCUAUAAGACUGGGAUAACUUCGGGAAACCGGAGCUAAUACAGGAUAUUAUAUUGAACCGCAUGGUUCAAUAGUGAAAGACGGUUUUGCUGUCACUUAUAGAUGGAUCCGCGCCGCAUUAGCUAGUUGGUAAGGUAACGGCUUACCAAGGCAACGAUGCGUAGCCGACCUGAGAGGGUGAUCGGCCACACUGGAACUGAGACACGGUCCAGACUCCUACGGGAGGCAGCAGUAGGGAAUAUUCCGCAAUGGGCGAAAGCCUGACGGAGCAACGCCGCGUGAGUGAUGAAGGUCUUCGGAUCGUAAAACUCUGUUAUUAGGGAAGAACAAAUGUGUAAGUAACUAUGCACGUCUUGACGGUACCUAAUCAGAAAGCCACGGCUAACUACGUG
rnacentral:rRNA from 1 species